GCCAAGGAGGACGCCCAUGGGGACGCCGAUGAGGUAGUAGCUGCCGAUGUUGAUGUAGGCCACCGCGGAUUGCCAGCCAGACCCAACAGCCACACCUGCAAGCACGGGCUGGAUGCUGUUGAGCAGGAUGGUGAAGGCCAGCAGGAUGGCGAGGUUGUUGACGGCGUCCAGCACCACGGCGCUGGAGGUGAAGAUGAGCGCCAGCUUGUCGUGGAGCCCCAUGAUGAGCACCCAGAAGAAGAGCCCGAUCACCAGCGACGUCAAGGACGACACGAUCGUCGCGAACCUCGCCCCCUUCCCGUUCCCGGCGCCCAGCUCGUUCGCCACCCGAACUCUGCA
rnacentral:rRNA from 1 species